GAUGAACGCUGGCGGCGUGCCUAAUACAUGCAAGUCGAGCGAAUGGAUUAAGAGCUUGCUCUUAUGAAGUUAGCGGCGGACGGGUGAGUAACACGUGGGUAACCUGCCCAUAAGACUGGGAUAACUCCGGGAAACCGGGGCUAAUACCGGAUAACAUUUUGAACCUCAUGGUUCGAAAUUGAAAGGCGGCUUCGGCUGUCACUUAGGGAUGGACACGCGUCGCAUUAGAUAGUUGGUGAGGUAACGGCUCACCAAGGCAACGAGGCGUAGCCGACCUGGGAGGGUGAUCGGCCACACUGGGACUGAGACACGGCCCAGACUCCUACGGGAGGCAGCAGUAGGGAAUCUUCCGCAAUGGACGAAAGUCUGACGGAGCAACGCCGCGUGAGUGAUGAAGGCUUUCGGGUCGUAAAACUCUGUUGUUAGGGAAGAACAAGUGCUAGUUGAAUAAGCUGGCACCUUGACGGUACCUAACCAGAAAGCCACGGCUAACUACGUGCCAGCCGCCGCAGUAA
rnacentral:rRNA from 1 species